AGAGUUUGAUCCUGGCUCAGGACGAACGCUGGCGGCGCGCCUAACACAUGCAAGUCGAACGAGAGAGAGGGAGCUUGCUUCCUCAAUCGAGUGGCGAACGGGUGAGUAACGCGUGAGGAACCUGCCUCAAAGAGGGGGACAACAGUUGGAAACGACUGCUAAUACCGCAUAAGCCCACGGGUCGGCAUCGACCAGAGGGAAAAGGAGCAAUCCGCUUUGAGAUGGCCUCGCGUCCGAUUAGCUAGUUGGUGAGGUAAUGGCCCACCAAGGCAACGAUCGGUAGCCGGACUGAGAGGUUGAACGGCCACAUUGGGACUGAGACACGGCCCAGACUCCAACGGGAGGCA
rnacentral:rRNA from 1 species